AGAGUUUGAUCCUGGCUCAGAGCGAACGCUGGCGGCAGGCCUAACACAUGCAAGUCGAACGAACUCUUCGGAGUUAGUGGCGGACGGGUGAGUAACACGUGGGAACGUGCCUUUAGGUUCGGAAUAGCUCCUGGAAACGGGUGGUAAUGCCGAAUGUGCCCUUCGGGGGAAAGAUUUAUCGCCUUUAGAGCGGCCCGCGUCUGAUUAGCUUGUUGGUGGGGUAAUGGCCCACCAAGGCUACGAUCAGUAGCUGGUCUGAGAGGAUGACCAGCCACAUUGGGACUGAGACACGGCCCAAACUCCUACGGGAGGCAGCAGUGGGGAAUCUUGCGCAAUGGGCGAAAGCCUGACGCAGCCAUGCCGCGUGUAUGAUGAAGGUCUUAGGAUUGUAAAAUACUUUCACCGGUGAAGAUAAUGACUGUAGCCGGAGAAGAAGCCCCGGCUAACUUCGUGCCAGCAGCCGCGGUAAUACGAAGGGGGCUAGCGUUGCUCGGAAUUACUGGGCGUAAAGGGAGCGUAGGCGGACAUUUAAGUCAGAGGUGAAAUCCCGGAGCUUAACUUCGGAACUGCCUUUGAUACUGGGUGUCUUGAGUGUGAGAGAGGUAUGUGGAACUCCGAGUGUAGAGGUGAAAUUCGUAGAUAUUCGGAAGAACACCAGUGGCGAAGGCGACAUACUGGCUCAUUACUGACGCUGAGGCUCGAAAGCGUGGGGAGCAAACAGGAUUAGAUACCCUGGUAGUCCACGCCGUAAACGAUGAUUGCUAGUUGUCGGGAAGCUUGCUUCUCGGUGACGCAGCUAA
rnacentral:rRNA from 1 species